UACGUAGGGUGCGAGCGUUAAUCGGAAUUACUGGGCGUAAAGCGUGCGCAGGCGGUUUUGUAAGCCAGAUGUGAAAGCCCCGGGCUUAACCUGGGAAUGGCAUUUGGGACUGCAAGGCUUGAGUGCGGCAGAGGAGACUGGAAUUCCUGGUGUAGCAGUGAAAUGCGUAGAUAUCAGGAGGAAUACCGAUGGCGAAGGCAGGUCUCUGGGCUGACACUGACGCUCAUGCACGAAAGCCAGGGGAGCGAAGGGG
rnacentral:rRNA from 1 species